GACAGAAGGACUCGGUACAUCCGAAACCCUGGAAGCUCCUGCUGCCUCUCCUGGAUCCACGCAGAGAACAAGAGGAAGCCUUGAGUCCCAGGAAGUAGCCCGCCACAGCAAGGCAACAUCUCGGCGCCUGAUCCGCUGUGAUUUGAUCUGCCACGCCACCUCGGAGACAGACAGAGCAACCCUUCAUUCCGGUCACACUCGCAGCACUUUGCUGGGUCAGCCGCUGUGACUCAGUGCUGCGCCCCAGACCAGGCUGGCGCACGUGGCUGUGCACACGCGCUCUGGCUUCCAGGAGGCACAGCCAUCGCGCGAGGCCUCCUGGGGGCCCAGGCCAGGGGCGCCGGUGCCUACUCAUUAAUUAUUAAAGGAGGGCGGUUUUAUCUUGUCCGCUGGCAGAAUCGAGGCCAAAGUAGAAGAAGAAAGACCAAUUUAGAGGGUUGUCUUCUCUUUGCUCCACCCGGGGACCAGUGAUUAUCACUCAAGUUCACAUUGAUUAUAUUCCUAUGAUCUCUUCUCAA